UAUAAUUAGAGAUGUACAUAGAAAUUUAUGUAAAGGAAAUUGAUCAUAAAAUUAUUUACAUUAGCAACAUACUUGAAUCCAAUAAAGAGAUGGGUUAAAUAAAUCACAGUACAUCCAGAAGAUGGACUACUAUGUAGCUUCUAAAAAUCAAGCUGCGAAUUAUGCUAAGCAAAAAAACAGACACAAAAGACCACAUGCUAUAUGAUUCCAUUUACAUGAAAUUCUAGAAAAGACAAAGCUAUGACAACAGAAAGCAGAUCUAUGGUUGCCAAGGGCCAGGGGGUGGGGGAAGGGAGCUGACUACAGAGAGGGUAGCCUAAGAGUACAGUGUUUAUAAAGUCUACAGGGAUGUCCUAGGCCUUCACAUUCACUCUCAACCUACUGACUCAACCAGAGCAACUUUGAAUCCUGCAAGAUGAAACCUUGAUAUCUUUUUGGGAGGAUUCAUCGUCUGAUUUCAUGUCAUCUGAUGAAGGAGGUUCAUGAAGGUUUUCAUCCUUCUCUUUGUUUUCAGUCUUAAUUUCUGUUGCAACAACAGUUCCAGACUGACUUUGCAAACCACCUAACAAAGAGGCAAAGGACCAUGAAGACGAACUCAUGAGGGCAAGUGAUGUAGGAAUAGAGACAUGACAGAAGCAGGAGCAGGUAUAAAGAUAACCAGUAAAUACUGAAAAGAGCCUAAAGCAUCCGAACUGACACAGUAUCUCAGAAUCUUCCUCAUAAGAAUUCUCUAGGUAGAAAUGUAUGGCCUGAGAAGUUCCCAAGGAAAACAAUGGGGAUUUAAAACAAGAAUGAUGGCCUUAGAAGCUGCCUAUGUAGCUCUGCACCUGUGUAUCUAUCCUUACAAGGCCUCUGGUGAGUCUGAUUAAUGUUCAAGCCUAAGAACUAGGGCAAGUAUAGAGAGCAUACAGUGGGUAGAAUUUUUUAUUCUACAUAACAGGCCAUUGCCAUACAAGGAACAGAACAAUUUCCACAUAAUAUAUAGGCACUCUGGUUUGUUCUUUUUCCCUUCAACUGUGAAUACUUUAUUACACAGUGCUUUCAUUUAUUCUUCCUAUAUUUCCAUCUCAUCUCUGCUCUGCUAUGGGGUAUAUGUAGAGGAUGUGGAGACAAGAAGGAAGCACUAGAUAUAAGAGAUGGGAGAAAUGCACCUGCACAAAAUCAGUCUUUGAUUUGUUGUUUUAACAGGAUAUGUGAAAGUAUUUUUCUUUGAUUACGACUGAAGAAUUGAAAAGGAUGCUUAUUAACUCCUUCGCUACACAAUUCAACAGUCCAGUUGUCAUUAAUUAAUUGAAUUAAAGGGAAAAAGAAUAUCAUUCACUGAACAUCAAAUAAAGAGAAAGAAAUGUGAGAUUUUACUUGGGACCAUUAUUUUUUGAAAAAUGUCUAAGUCUCUGAUUCUCCAUUUCACUAAUGUUCCUUCAUACACACUGAGUUCUGCUAUGACCUGCCUUCCUACUCAAUGUUAAUUAAAACCAAAGGACACUUUGGUAG